GAUGAACGCUAGCUACAGGCUUAACACAUGCAAGUCGAGGGGAAACGAUAUUGGAAGCUUGCUUCUGAUAGGCGUCGACCGGCGCACGGGUGAGUAACGCGUAUCCAACCUGCCCAUCACUUGGGGAUAACCUUGUGAAAGUAAGACUAAUACCCAAUGACGUCUCUAGAAGACAUCUGAAAGAGAUUAAAGAUUUAUCGGUGAUGGAUGGGGAUGCGUCUGAUUAGCUUGUUGGCGGGGUAACGGCCCACCAAGGCGACGAUCAGUAGGGGUUCUGAGAGGAAGGUCCCCCACAUUGGAACUGAGACACGGUCCAAACUCCUACGGGAGGCAGCAGUGAGGAAUAUUGGUCAAUGGACGAGAGUCUGAACCAGCCAAGUAGCGUGCAGGAUGACGGCCCUAUGGGUUGUAAACUGCUUUUAUAAGGGAAUAAAGUGGGAGUCGUGACUCUUUUUGCAUGUACCUUAUGAAUAAGGACCGGCUAAUUCCGUGCCAGCAGCC
rnacentral:rRNA from 1 species